rnacentral:rRNA from 1 species
AUUAAACGCUGGCGGCAUGCCUUACACAUGCAAGUCGAACGGUAGCGCGGGGCAACCUGGCGACGAGUGGCGAACGGGUGAGUAAAGCAUCGGAACGUGCCCUGGAAUGGGGGAUAACGUAGCGAAAGUUACGCUAAUACCGCAUAUUCUGUGAGCAGGAAAGCAGGGGAUCGCAAGACCUUGCGUUCUGGGAGCGGCCGAUGUCGGAUUAGCUAGUUGGUGGGGUAAAAGCCUACCAAGGCGACGAUCCGUAGCGGGUCUGAGAGGAUGAUCCGCCACACUGGGACUGAGACACGGCCCAGACUCCUACGGGAGGCAGCAGUGGGGAAUUUUGGACAAUGGGCGGAAGCCUGAUCCAGCCAUGCCGCGUGAGUGAAGAAGGCCUCGGUGUAAG